GAGACAGAGACAGACAGAAAGUGAGAGCUAGACAGCGCUCUGGAAGCCUAGCUGAUCAUUGCUGUGAUAUUCUGACUGCCCCAGCGGCUGAGAGAGAGGGCGCGUGACAGAAAGAAAGAGGGAGAGAGAGAGAGAGAGAGAGAGAGAGAAGGAUAGAAGACUAGAAGCCUCUUUCCAUUCUAUGAAAAACAAGUUCCCAAAUAGAGCAUCAACAGCAAAGUGCGGAGUGGAGGGAGUGUCUCGUCUCUUCAGGGGGAGCUGCUCACUAACAUGAAGAAGAAAACAGUCCAGAGGAGCUACUACUAGUGGAAGAUCUUUAAGAGGGGGAGAAGAAGACCAAUAGUGUCUAUUCAGACACAAUUCAAACCGAUAGUGUCUAUUGACUCUACUCAGACUAAAGGAGAAAGCCAAAAACUUUGUUGUCGAGGAUGUCUUGGCUGUCGCCCAUGUCAUGGGCCAAGUGGACGUGGACAGCAGUCCGGGGAGCAGAGGAGGGAGAGGAGGUGGAGGGCCAGGAGGUGAAGGAGAAGGAUGGACUGCUACCCUGCGUAGGGCAGCGAGAGGAGGAGGAGGAAGAGAGAUCUCAAGGCUGCAGUUCAGACUCAGAGGGCCACUUUGAAACCCCAGAGGCUCAGAGCCCUGUCCACGCUCCACUCCAAGACCCAGAAGAGCUGGAGACCUUUACCACUGACAGAGCAGAUGCCCUGGAGGAGGAGGAUGAACAGCUGAUAGUGUCUGGCCCAACCAGGGUUCCAGCUCCUAGUCUCCUCUUUAACCAGAACAUGGGUCAGGCCAAGCCCCCCUUGGCCCCUGAGGAGGAGGCCCCUGUGGACUUGAAGGAGGGGCCACAAACACUGCCCAACACCACAGAGGUUCAACCCCCAAUAGCAGGCCCACCAGCCCAGACCAAUGGAGCAGCAAAGGCCACUGCUUCUCUAGACUUAUGUCUACCUGAGGAGGAAAGACCACUGGCUACUUCUCUAGACUUAGGCCUAACUGAGGAGGCUAAACCACUGGCUACUUCUCUAGACUUAGGCCUAAUUGAGGAGGCUAGACCACUGGCUACUUCUCUAGACUUAGGCCUAACUGAGGAGGCUAGACCACUGUCUACUUCUCUAGACUUAGGCCUAACUGAGGAGGCUAGACCACUGUCUACUUCUCUAGACUUAGGCCUAACUGAGGAGGCUAGACCACUGUCUACUUCUCUAGACUUAGGCCUACUGAGGAGGCUAGACCACUGUCUACUUCUCUAGACUUAGGCCUAACUGAGGAGGAUAGACCACUGUCUACUUCUCUAGACUUAGGCCUAACUGAGGAGGAUAGACCACUGGCUACUUCUCUAGACUUAGGCCUAACUGAGGAGGCUAGACCACUGGCUACUUCUCUAGACUUAGGCCUAACUCAGGAGGCUAGCAGUACAGAGCGCUUUGUAUGGAACACCCCGUAGAGACCAUCCCUGACCUCAGGCCAAACCCAAUAAAAACCACACCCCCUUCCUGAAGAUAAGGGAGCCUUUAACAGGGCUAGUGCACAGAGGGAUGGGGACAGGGAUAUCACUCCAGUCCCUAAGGCUAGCUACAUACUUUAACCCGGACCAAUUCGACGACAGCUUCAAUCCGUUCGCCAGCGGCGGCUCCAAGAUUCAGAACUCGUCGCCAGCUUUGCAGCCGAUGCCCUGCACACAAUGGAGUCGCUACCUGUACCUAGCUUCCUGCCCACACUGGGGUCGUUACCUGUAUGCAGCUCUUCUCCACCGCUUUGUGGGACUAGUUCCUCACCUAAAAAUGGACGUUGAGGAGGUCAAAGAUUCAGCGUCGGAGGCAUCAGAGGAACCCAAGCCUGUGAAGAUGGAGUUUGGGUUAGAUGAGGCAGGCGAGGUAAAAAAAACACCACCCAGGAGCAUGGGUAAAAAGCCCAGCAGCAAGCUCGCCGUCAAGAAACCAAGGGCAAAAGCAACGACAACAGCACCUGCCCCAAACGCCGGCAACCCGAACCAGUAUAGCUGAACCGGUAGUAAGGCCGGUUUCAGAAACGACUUCCGAAACCGCUUUCCAUGCCAGGUGCCUCCUUAAGUUUGGACGACGUUCCUAUUCCCAAGUCCACUUAUAACUUUGACCCCAACCAGUGGGAUGACCCUAAUUUGAACCCUUUGGGGGUGGUGGUUGUCCAAAAUAAGUAGUUCCCCCGGUUUGUGCCCAAAGGAUCCUACAGCUUUUGAUCCUCACAACUUUGACAACUGUGUGGACCCCUUAAGCCAUCUACAGCCCUGGGCAGCAAGAACUCAACCUCCCAGGAUACCCCACUUCCUCCGCAAGCAGAGGAAGCAGUGAAAACCAAAGCUGGAGCGGCCCCUGGAUGAGGGGAAGAGAAAUGUGUCAGGACUCCAAAGAAAAGCAAGGACAGGAUCAUCACGUAAGUCCACUACACUCACUACGUUCCACCGAUAGUAUAGCCUUCUUCAUGUUAGUUCUGUUUACAGAAUGUGGAUUGUCUUAACAAGAAGAAAGCAUUCAAUUUUCUUCCCAUGUCUUUUAAAAAACACUUGGCAAUGUUAUUUUAUAAAACAAUACUGUCAGAAAGCUAGUAAACAUUUUUGAUAUUGCUCAAUAGCCUAUGUGAUACCAAACUUGGCCUCAUGGUUCUCACAUUAGGCUAGUAGAUAUAUUUUUGCCAUUUGCAAGGCCACUGGCAUCAUAAUGUUUGUGUCAGAAAAGCCUGCUGCCAAAUCUUCACCUCCCCAGCCAACUCCUAGAACCUAUCUCAUAAUGAUGAGCAGUAUAUCUCUACUCAUUCCUCCUUCAUAUUUCAUUUUCCUGCUGUAUUCCCUAUUGACCUUCUCCCGCCCCGCCACCCUACCAACAACCGCCACUGUCUGUCUAUCAUGCACCUUUCCUUGCUUCUCUCCUUCCACCUUGUUGUCGUUUGCCUCAGGACCACUGAACAAGUGAAGAUUCUCUGUUUCUGUUGUAAGUAGUACUCUCCUCUUCCCCAACUCAAUCUCUCUCUCGCUCUCUGGGUUGGUCUGCAUCUUGCUUUCAGUCCUAUGCAUGUGUUAUGAUGAGAGGCUCAAUGAAGGAGCUUUUAGUGUCUGCACUCCUGCAUGUUGGCACAUGAACCUUCCCCUUAAACUGCCUUCAUCAGCUAGUAGGCUAUUUCCUUAAUGGUGCCUUGUGAGUCUUUGCAAAGUUAAAUAACAUAUUUCUAUCUGCAUAGGAUUUUGCAUAGUGCUGUGCAAUACUGAUUAGAACAAUGGGAGAAUAGUGUGUAUCAACCAUCUGCUAGCCGCAGCCCGCUAGCUGUCUAGAGCAUAUCGGACUGUUAGCUUAAGAGGGCCAUCGGACAAAUUCUUUGGCUACUAUACCUAUUUUGCCAAUUGGCCUGGACCCUUUCACCACACGGAGCCCUGCUGAUCCACGACAACUGGUCUGCCAAAGUUACAGCACGAGGGGCUACUACUGACUUCUUCCGUCACGACGUCCCUCUAAGACCCUUCUGCUAGCUUGCUAGCACCGGCCCACUAGCUGCCUGAAUCGCCUCGUCUCCGGCCCGCCUGAGCCACUCACUGGAUCCCUAUGAUCACUCGGCUAUGCAUGCCUCUCCCUAAUGUCAAUAUGCCUUGUCCAUUGUUGUUUUGGUUAGUAAUUAUUGACUUAUUUCACUGUAGAGCCUCUAGCCCUGCUCAAUAACCCUUUAGUUCCACCUCCCACACAUGCGGUGACCUCACCUGGUUUAAAUGAUGUUUCUAGAGACAAUAUCUCUAUCAUUGUCACUCAAUGCAUAGGUUUACCUCAACUGUAUUCACAUCCUACCAUACCUUUGUCUGUACAUUAUGCCUUGAAUCUAUUCUACCGUGCCCAGAAACCUGCUCCUUUUACUCUCUGUUCCGAACGUACUAGACGACCAGUUCUUAUAGCCUUUAGCCGUACCCUUAUCCUACUCCUCCUCUGGUGAUGUAGAGGUUAAUCCAGGCCCUGCAGUGCCUAGCUUCACUCCCACUCCCCAGGCGCUCUCAUUGAUUGACUUCUGUAACCCUAAAAGUCUUGGUUUCAUGUACGUUAACAUUAGAAGCUUCCUCCCUAAAUUUGUUUUAUUCACUGCCUGAGCACACUCUGCCAACCCGGAUGUCCUAGCCAUGUCUGAAUCCUGGCUUAGGAAGACUACCAAAAACCCUGAAAUGUCCAUCCCUAACUAACAUUUUCCGGCUAGAAAGAACUGCCAAAGGGGGCGGAGUUGCAAUCUAUUGCAGAUCUUACGUUCUCCCCUCGGGUGUAGCUCGUCUGAGGAGGAGACGUAAAUGCCUGGCCUAAACACACAAGGUAAACCAGAUGAAAAUGGAAGAAAUGUGGGGUGUAAUGAGCGAAAAUAACCAGACCACAAACCAAACUCAAUGUUAGCCCUCAGGGGAUGUUUAGUAAGUAAUUAAACAAUAAGACACCCAUAAGAGUCAGUAAGAAAACAAAAAAACAACAACCAGGGAAGGUAAGAGAAGGGAAUGUUUGGGAUCGGGGUCCAAGUAAUGAAAAUAAACAAAAGGUCCCUCCUCUUCUACACACCUAAUCC
ensembl:lncRNA